UGCAUCAUGUGCAUCAAGUUUGGGACAAGCAUUGUCAGCGACGGUUGACAACCUCAUUAGGGAGGGUCAGAAGCCAAAAGCUUCUGGAAGCAAAAGGAGAUUUAAAUAAAGCCCGUGAUAAACCCCCUAAUUGGAUCUCUUGAGAAAAUUGGAAUAAGCUAAUUGACAUUUGGAUCUUCCCAAAAUGGAAGAAGAAAUCAGAAGCCAACAAAAAUAAUAGAAACACCAUGAAGAAUGGUAGCAUCUCUAAACACUGUGGAGGAUCAAUCACAUUUAUCAAUCAUGACGAACGACUGAAAUUAAAGUUAGGUAGGGAGCCAACAAUAGUUGAAUCUUUUAAUCGGACGCAUAAGACAAAGCAAGGCAUGGAGGAUAUGUAGAUAAGAGAAGUAAAGCUGUCAUGGUAAGUAUAAUUUUUUUAUGAUUCAUAAAUAUUAUUGAGCUUGCUCAUGUUUAUCUCUUGUUUGAUCCACCAUAAUGUUUUUCUCUUCUUUUAAAUCAACUGACAGGCAAAGUAUUCAGCUGAAUACUCCAAAAAAUAUGGUGAUGCCUCCACCUCAGAUGCUCCUCCACGUGAUUAUGACUUGUGGUUUGAGGCAACUGGUGUCCCAACUCAUGGCCAUGUCUAUGGCUUUACUCCCCUAGAGGAUCUCAUUGGAAUUAUUGGGCAAUUAUCAUCCUCUUCCACCUCUACAAGUCAAGCUCUAGAGCUGUACACUCAUGAAGACCUUCUACGUAUUCUUGAGCAGGAAAAGAAAAAAUGGCA